rnacentral:rRNA from 1 species
GUGGGGAAUCUUGCACAAUGGGCGAAAGCCUGAUGCAGCAAUGCCGCGUGAGUGAUGAAGGCCUUCGGGUUGUAAAUCUCUGUCGGUUGGGAAAAAUGGCUUCAGAUCUAAUAAGUCUGGAGAGUGAUGGUACCAGCAAAGGAAGAGGCGGCUAACUCUGUGCCAGCAGCCGCGGUAAUACAGAGGCCUCGAGCGUUGUUCGGAAUUACUGGGCGUAAAGGGAAUGUAGGUGGUGACGUAAGUCAGAUGUGAAAGCCCUGGGCUUAACCCGGGAAGUGCAUUUGAUACUGCGUUGCUUGAGUAUGAGAGAGGAAAGCGGAAUUCCCAGUGUAGGAGUGAAAUCCGUAGAUAUUGGGAGGAAUACCGAUGGCGAAGGCAGCUUUCUGGCUCGUAACUGACACUGAGAUUCGAAAGCGUGGGUAGCAAACAGGAUUAGAUACCCUUGUAGUCC